GAUGAACGCUGGCGGCGUGCCUAAUACAUGCAAGUCGAGCGAACGGACGAGAAGCUUGCUUCUCUGAUGUUAGCGGCGGACGGGUGAGUAACACGUGGAUAACCUACCUAUAAGACUGGGAUAACUUCGGGAAACCGGAGCUAAUACCGGAUAAUAUUUUGAACCGCAUGGUUCAAAAGUGAAAGACGGUCUUGCUGUCACCUAUAGAUGGAUCCGCGCUGCAUUAGCUAGUUGGUAAGGUAACGGCUUACCAAGGCAACGAUGCAUAGCCGACCUGAGAGGGUGAUCGGCCACACUGGAACUGAGACACGGUCCAGACUCCUACGGGAGGCAGCAGUAGGGAAUCUUCCGCAAUGGGCGAAAGCCUGACGGAGCAACGCCGCGUGAGUGAUGAAGGUCUUCGGAUCGUAAAACUCUGUUAUUAGGGAAGAACAUAUGUGUAAGUAACUGUGCACAUCUGGACGGUACCUAAUCAGAAAGCCACGGCUAACUACGU
rnacentral:rRNA from 1 species